rnacentral:rRNA from 1 species
AUGGACGCGCCGGCCCCCGACAACAUCGCCGCUGAGGAGGGCGGGCAGCAACAGAUGCACCAGGACGAGAAGGAGCACAGGCCGAUGUUCAGGAGAGUCAAGGACAGGAUGAGGAAGAUGAAGAACACCAUCGCCGGCCACGGCCACGAUCACGAUCACGAUCACGAGCAGGACACCGGGGGCGGUGGUAGCAACAGCACCGGCGAGGACGAGGAGGAUGCGGCGACGAGGGAAGCCGAGGUGGACAAGGGCGGAUACCAGCAGCAAGACGUCGAGGACAAGCCCAUCUUCGCGGACUCCAGUCCCGAGCAGCACGGCGCACCCAUGUACGACUCGGAGAGGAUCCCUGCGGCGGCCAAGGAGGUGGAGCACAACGACGCUCCGGCAGCGGCGCAGGAGGUGAAGCGCGACGACGCCGCGGGGAUGCGGCUCGGCGACUUGGGCGGCCCGCCGUCGGCGAAGGAGGUGAAGCUGGACGACACCCAGAGGGUGCCGCUCGGCGACCUUGGCGCCCCGGCAGCGGCGCAGGAGGUGAAGUGCGACGACGCUCCGGGGGUUUGGCUUGGUGACCUUGGCGCCCCGGCAGCGGCGCAGGAGGUGAAGCCCAACGAGGCUCCGGGGGUGCGGCUUGCUGACCUUGGCGCCCCGGCAGCGGCGCAGGAGGUGAAGCGCGACGACACCCAGGGGGUGCCGCUCGGCGAUCUCGGCAGCCCUGUCGUCGAGGACCCGGCCGUGCCGAACUCGAGCACGCCCAUGCCGCCAGGUGGCCAAGACAUCGGCACGACGGAUGCCGUCCGUAACUUGGAGGCGAUGACUGUGUCAGACGACCCCAAGCAAGUCGGCGCACGGAAGAUGGACGUCGACGUGAGCAAAGAGUAUGAGGCAAUGCCGGUGUCGGACGGCACCGGGGAGGAACGGAACGACGCACCCACGGACGCCGAGUACACCGGGAGCGACACGGACAGGCUCAAGAAUACGGCAGCUGGCACGGUGUAUGAGAAGGUCGCCGGCGUCGGCACGGUCAUGGCGAGCAAGGCGCAGCAGGUCACCCCCGGCGUCGGCGCUGGCGGGAACGCGCAGGACGACUCCAGCGCAACUGCCGCCCCUGAAUCGGUGACCGCCGGUGCCGGGAAGAGGGACCUCGACUUGCCGCAAGAGGGAACGGCGGCGUCCUACACCGGCACGGAGGGGCUGAAGGACGCGGCAACGGACGCGACGGGCACGGAGGGGCUGAAGAACGCGGCCACGGACGCGACGGGCACGGAGGGGCUGAAGAACGCCGCCACGGACGCGACGACGGAGGGCGCGCCUGGCGCGACGUACACGGACAUGAUCAAGUCCGCGGCGGCGGGCACCACGGAGUACGGCAAGAAGCUGGCUAGCACGGUGUACGACAUGAUCAAGUCCGCGGUGGCGGGCGCCACGGAGUACGGCAAGAAGCUAGCGAGCACGGUGUACGAGAAGGUCGCCGGCGUCGGCACGGCCGUUGCGAGCAAGGCCCAGCAGGUGACGACAUCGGCCGGCACCGCGGUGCUUCACGGCGCGGCUCCAAGGACCAACACGAAUGUGAUGUGA